rnacentral:lncRNA from 1 species
UAUCAUGUGUGUGUUCAGAAAUUUGUCUAAAAAGUUAAUUUGUUCAUUUGUUGUUCAUUUCUAUUUGUUUAAUCAUAUUUAAUAUUUGUUUUAUUUAUUUGUUUAAUUUUGUAUUAAUCAUUUUAAUAACAAUGCCGCGUCCUAGAAGAUCCAAUCUUUCCCAGCGAAGCCGUAAUGCAAUUAGGCAACGGAAUAUCGCGAGUCAAUUAUCUGAAAUUGCACGAGAACAGCGCCGCGUUAAUAUGGAGCAAAGAAGGGCCUUAAUUCGUGCUUCUCAAACACAAGAGCAAAGAGAGAGAAAUCGUCGAGCUUAUGGUACAGAAGAACAGAUGAAUAAUCUUCGAAGUGCAAGAAGAAAUGGUUUGAAUCGAGCAGCGUUUCUGUAUGAUUGCACCAUCCACUACAGCUUGCAUCGUUUAGUUUGCAUUGGUCCAAUGGACGUUGUUUGCCAGCACUGUGGAGCAUUGAAGUUUGCUGGUAAAACGCCUGGUUUGUGCUUCCUUAGUGGUAAAGUGAAAUUGCCAUUAUUAGUCCCGCCACCAGAGCCAUUGUGCUCCCUGCUUUAUGGCGAAUUCUAAUUUAGUAGAGAGUAGCUGUAAGAGUAUUUAACCUAUUACGGGUUCUAAAAUAAAAUUUUUACUGCAUUUGUUUCAGGUGAGGAAACUACCAAGAAGGUUAGUUCGAUGGUUCGUGAAAAUUCUGACAAUUAUUUGUUGCGAUUUCUUCGACUGCUUCAACAAUAUUGCGUUGACAUGUACGUUAAAAUCGAAACGGAGCGCCU